rnacentral:rRNA from 1 species
GAAACUACAAAGGAAGUUGACGGGGCCCGCACAAGCGGUGGAGUAUGUGGUUUAAUUCGAUGCAACGCGAAGAACCUUACCUGGUCUUGACAUCCCGGAGACCCUUAGGAAACUAGGGGGUGCUUCCAUCUGGAAGAAUCUGGAGACAGGUGCUGCAUGGCUGUCGUCAGCUCGUGUCGUGAGAUGUUGGGUUAAGUCCCGCAACGAGCGCAACCCUUGCCUUUAGUUGCCAGCAGUUCGGCUGGGCACUCUAAAGGGACUGCCGGUGUUAAACCGGAGGAAGGUGGGGAUGACGUCAAGUCCUCAUGGCCUUUAUGACCAGGGCUACACACGUACUACAAUGGCCGAUACAAAGGGCAGCGACACUGCGAGGUGAAGCCAAUCCCGUAAAAUCGGUCUCAGUCCGGAUUGGAGUCUGCAACUCGACUCCAUGAAGUUGGAAUCGCUAGUAAUCGUGGAUCAGCAUGCCACGGUGAAUACGUUCCCGGGCCUU